ensembl:lncRNA
CGCAGCUCUGUCCAGACCUUCUGGCUUCUGUGGUGGGAAAUGGUCCCACUGCAUCCAUAAAUGACCAGGGACAGGUGGACCCUGAGGACAUCAGGCUGCUGUCAGGAAGGGACCUGGUUGCUGAAUAGCCUCGGGUGACAAAGGGACGUUUCAGACACCUGGACAUGAUCUGACUGAGCUGUCUCUGGGACAUGCAUCCUGGCAGGGUGUGUGUGUGCGUGUGUGUGUGUGUGCAUGCAUGCAUGUGUGUGUGCAUGAGUGUGUGUGCAUGCAUGCAUGUGUGUGUUCAUAUGUGUGCAUGUGUGUGUGUGUGCACAUGAGUGUCAUUUAAAAAGCUGUGGCAGAUCUGAGUUGACGCAUUAGCCCUUUCUCACCCAGCCCCUUCCCAACCAAAGGGAUGACAGCGGAGGGUGCAGUCUGGCAGGUUUGUCCACUUGGGUUUUCAGGUCAUGACCUGGUUCACAGACUACUCUCUAGUCUAAUAAACUGACCAGUGGCCGGUUCCACACUCUGCCGUUGUGACCCCGUGACAAUGUCACCUAUAUUCGAGAUCCUUCCAAGAUCUUCCCCGAGCUGCAUGUGGCUGUGCUGAUGGACACGGAAUUUCGUAGUGAUUUCUUCUGGAGACUCGGAUCAUUGUUGAUGCUGCUUCUCCAGGGAGACAGGCUUGCGAGGGUGAUAUGUUCCUCCUGUGUAAGUGACGUAUGUGGACAUGGUGGGCCUUGUGUUCAUGUCAGAGGAACGUCUUGUUCAGGGUCACUCAGCUGCCAAGGGGACUGUCCGGGUUCCACUUCAGAUCUGCCCUCUAGAGCCUGGCUCCUUCUUGGGACAACCACCUCCUCUGCCACCUGUGACGGCACCACCCAGGACACCAGGUCAAGGUCUGGGGUGGCCACCACAGUAAUUCAGGCUUCCAGAGAUGAGCCUCCACCCACGGCCCUGCCAGGGCUUCUAGGGUCCGUUCUCCAGCCGAGGACUGGCAGGUAUCCACACAUGCGGAGGGCCAGCAGCUCGGAAACAGGGUCUCCACGCUCCCUGGAACAUGGUGAGUUAGCUGCCUGGGAGCUCUGGUCGCAUAGGAACAAUGCCGAGGCUUUAAACUGGGAAAAAACUGAGAUCUCGACCAGCCCCUCAGGUAAACCCCCCGAAGUCGGAAGUGGGCACCGGCUGCACCAGCAGUAACAGUGUGACGGGAAGCAAGGUCGCGUCCAGGGACGUCCUUGGAUGUUUCCUCCAUUUAAAAUGACUUUCAUCUUACAGAAAGUGGAAUGUUCUGUAUUAUUGCAUCAUAGUAGAAUACGAAGCACCAUCACUCCCUUGGCUUAAUGACACUGGCACUGAUAUUUUGGAAAUAAUGAUUUUUCCUAGUUUAGAAUGUAAAAGGUAUUAUUAUAGAAACGUCGUUCACAAGCUCCUCACUCAGAGGGUGCCUGUGAUAACAAUUGAGUAUCUUCACAUGAAGUUGGAAGGACGUUGUAUGUGUUUACCCGGCUUUCCACUCAACGUGCAGCGUGCACACGGUCCUGUCACAGAAGUCCUGAGGAGAUGAGAGAUGGUACCCGUCCUGGGCAUGAGUCCUGGUUUCCGCUCUGUGGUAUCCUUGAAGACCGAGAGCCUCACCAUCACAGUAUCCACAGGACACUGCAGCCAGCAGCCCUGGAGGGGCAGAACGGGUUUGGAGCUUCCCAGCAGCCCCAUGCCUAGAGUCUCGUCUUCAUGCCACCUGGCCCAGAGUCUGCCGGCUGUGAGCAGCCUCCUCCUGGGGCAACAAUCGAAGAAAGUCAGCGGCAAUUGUUCAACAUCACAGCCACCUGAGGUGACAAGAGCUCAAUAAGAAGCCGACCCAAACAAGAAUCUGACCCCAAAUUUAAAAUCUGGGAAUACAGAGGUCCACGGAGGACUUUGGGAAAGCUCCUAGAUGUCCUGGAAUCUAGAAGACCACCCAAAAUAUAGGACUGUGAACAUGCCAGGGGCUGUGCCCACACCCAAGAGAGACCUGAGAAGUCCUGGUCUUUUAACCUCUGACUGACCUUGAG